rnacentral:tRNA from 1 species
GGUACGGUGGCGCAGUGGGUAGCACUGUCGCCUCACAGCAAGACGUUCGUGGGUUCGAAUCCGGACUGGGCCU